GCCAACCCCAGCGGGGAGGUGGACAGCACCCACCACGACAUGGUCAUCUCGCGCCUUGGCCAUAAGCUGGAGGGUGUUCUCUGUGAUGGAGAGUCUGAUGAGGUGGUGGCAUCCACUGUGGUCAACUGCACAAAGAUUGAUGAAAGUGGCAUCACCAUCGUGCGGGAAGGCUGCAUCCCAGC